rnacentral:rRNA from 1 species
AACGAACGCUGGCGGCAUGCCUAACACAUGCAAGUCGAACGAGACCUUCGGGUCUAGUGGCGCACGGGUGCGUAACGCGUGGGAACCUGCCCUUAGGUUCGGAAUAACUCACCGAAAGGGGUGCUAAUACCGGAUAAUGUCUUCGGACCAAAGAUUUAUCGCCUUUGGAUGGGCCCGCGUUGGAUUAGCUAGUUGGUAGGGUAAAAGCCUACCAAGGCGACGAUCCAUAGCUGGUCUGAGAGGAUGAUCAGCCACACUGGGACUGAGACACGGCCCAGACUCCUACGGGAGGCAGCAGUAGGGAAUAUUGGACAAUGGGCGAAAGCCUGAUCCAGCAAUGCCGCGUGAGUGAUGAAGGCCUUAGGGUUGUAAAGCUCUUUUACCCGGGAUGAUAAUGACAGUACCGGGAGAAUAAGCGCCGGCUAACUCCGUG